CCUACGGGGGGCAGCAGUGGGGAAUAUUGGGCAAUGGGCGCAAGCCUGACCCAGCAACGCCGCGUGAAGGAAGAAGGCUUUCUGGUUGUAAACUUCUUUUGUCAGGGAAGAGUAGAAGACGGUACCUGACGAAUCAGCCACGGCCAACUACGUGCCAGCAGCCGCGGUAAUACGUAGGUGGCAAGCGUUGUCCGGAUUUACUGGGUGUAAAGGGCGUGUAGCCGGGUUGACAAGUCAGAUGUGAAAUCCUGCGGCUUAACCGCAGAACUGCAUUUGAAACUGUUGAUCUUGAGUACUGGAGAGGCAGACGGAAUGCCUGGUGUAGCGGUGAAAUGCGUAGAUAUUAGGAGGAACACCAGUGGCGAAGGCAGUCUGCUGGACAGCAACUGACGGUGAGGCGCGAAAGCGUGGGGAGCGAACAGGAUUAGAUACCCGUGUAGUC
rnacentral:rRNA from 1 species